CUAAUACCGCAUACGCCCUACGGGGGAAAGCAGGGGAUCUUCGGACCUUGCGCUAAUAGAUGAGCCUAAGUCAGAUUAGCUAGUUGGUGGGGUAAAGGCCUACCAAGGCGACGAUCUGUAGCGGGUCUGAGAGGAUGAUCCGCCACACUGGGACUGAGACACGGCCCAGACUCCUACGGGAGGCAGCAGUGGGGAAUAUUGGACAAUGGGCGCAAGCCUGAUCCAGCCAUGCCGCGUGUGUGAAGAAGGCCUUUUGGUUGUAAAGCACUUUAAGCGAGGAGGAGGCUACUUGGAUUAAUACUCUAGGAUAGUGGACGUUACUCGCAGAAUAAGCACCGGCUAACUCUGUGCCAGCAGCCGCGGUAAUACAGAGGGUGCGAGCGUUAAUCGGAUUUACUGGGCGUAAAGCGUGCGUAGGCGGCUUCUUAAGUCGGAUGUGAAAUCCCUGAGCUUAACUUAGGAAUUGCAUUCGAUACUGGGAAGCUAGAGUAUGGGAGAGGAUGGUAGAAUUCCAGGUGUAGCGGUGAAAUGCGUAGAGAUCUGGAGGAAUACCGAUGGCGAAGGCAGCCAUCUGGCCUAAUACUGACGCUGAGGUACGAAAGCAUGGGGAGCAAACAGGAUUAGAUACCCUGGUAGUCCAUGCCGUAAACGAUGUCUACUAGCCGUUGGGGCCUUUGAGGCUUUAGUGGCGCAGCUAACGCGAUAAGUAGACCGCCUGGGGAGUACGGUCGCAAGACUAAAACUCAAAUGAAUUGACGGGGGCCCGCACAAGCGGUGGAGCAUGUGGUUUAAUUCGAUGCAACGCGAAGAACCUUACCUGGUCUUGACAUAGUAAGAACUUUCCAGAGAUGGAUUGGUGCCUUCGGGAACUUACAUACAGGUGCUGCAUGGCUGUCGUCAGCUCGUGUCGUGAGAUGUUGGGUUAAGUCCCGCAACGAGCGCAACCCUUUUCCUUAUUUGCCAGCGGGUUAAGCCGGGAACUUUAAGGAUACUGCCAGUGACAAACUGGAGGAAGGCGGGGACGACGUCAAGUCAUCAUGGCCCUUACGACCAGGGCUACACACGUGCUACAAUGGUCGGUACAAAGGGUUGCUACCUAGCGAUAGGAUGCUAAUCUCAAAAAGCCGAUCGUAGUCCGGAUUGGAGUCUGCAACUCGACUCCAUGAAGUCG
rnacentral:rRNA from 1 species